rnacentral:rRNA from 1 species
GAUGAACGCUGGCGGCGUGCCUAAUACAUGCAAGUCGAGCGAACGGACGAGAAGCUUGCUUCUCUGAUGUUAGCGGCGGACGGGUGAGUAACACGUGGAUAACCUACCUAUAAGACUGGGAUAACUUCGGGAAACCGGAGCUAAUACCGGAUAAUAUUUUGAACCGCAUGGUUCAAAAGUGAAAGACGGUCUUGCUGUCACUUAUAGAUGGAUCCGCGCUGCAUUAGCUAGUUGGUAAGGUAACGGCUUACCAAGGCAACGAUGCAUAGCCGACCUGAGAGGGUGAUCGGCCACACUGGAACUGAGACACGGUCCAGACUCCUACGGGAGGCAGCAGUAGGGAAUCUUCCGCAAUGGGCGAAAGCCUGACGGAGCAACGCCGCGUGAGUGAUGAAGGUCCUCGGAUCGUAAAACUCUGUUAUUAGGGAAGAACAAAUGUGUAAGUAACUAUGCACGUCUUGACGGUACCUAAUCAGAAAGCCACGGCUAACUACGUG